rnacentral:rRNA from 1 species
GGGUUGUGAGGUUAAGCGACUAAGCGUACACGGUGGAUGCCCUGGCAGUCAGAGGCGAUGAAGGACGUGCUAAUCUGCGAAAAGCGUCGGUAAGGUGAUAUGAACCGUUAUAACCGGCGAUGUCCGAAUGGGGAAACCCAGUGCAAUUCGUUGCACUAUCGUUAACUGAAUACAUAGGUUAACGAGGCGAACCGGGGGAACUGAAACAUCUAAGUACCCCGAGGAAAAGAAAUCAACCGAGAUUCCCCCAGUAGCGGCGAGCGAACGGGGAGCAGCCCAGAGUCUGAAUCAGCUUGUGUGUUAGUGGAACGGUCUGGAAAGUCCGACGGUACAGGGUGAUAGUCCCGUACACCAAAAUGCACAGGCUGUGAACUCGAAGAGUAGGGCGGGACACGUGGUAUCCUGUCUGAAUAUGGGGGGACCAUCCUCCAAGGCUAAAUACUCCUGACUGACCGAUAGUGAACCAGUACCGUGAGGGAAAGGCGAAAAGAACCCCGGCGAGGGGAGUGAAAAAGAACCUGAAACCGUGUACGUACAAGCAGUGGGAGCACCUUCGGGUGUGACUGCGUACCUUUUGUAUAAUGGGUCAGCGACUUAUAUUCUGUAGCAAGGUUAACCGUAUAGGGGAGCCGCAGGGAAACCGAGUCUUAACUGGGCGUUAAGUUGCAGGGUAUAGACCCGAAACCCGGUGAUCUAGCCAUGGGCAGGUUGAAGGUUGGGUAACACUAACUGGAGGACCGAACCGACUAAUGUUGAAAAAUUAGCGGAUGACUUGUGGCUGGGGGUGAAAGGCCAAUCAAACCGGGAGAUAGCUGGUUCUCCCCGAAAGCUAUUUAGGUAGCGCCUCGUGAACUCAUCUUCGGGGGUAGAGCACUGUUUCGGCUAGGGGGUCAUCCCGACUUACCAACCCGAUGCAAACUACGAAUACCGAAGAAUGUUAUCACGGGAGACACACGGCGGGUGCUAACGUCCGUCGUGAAGAGGGAAACAACCCAGACCGCCAGCUAAGGUCCCAAAGUCAUGGUUAAGUGGGAAACGAUGUGGGAAGGCACAGACAGCCAGGAUGUUGGCUUAGAAGCAGCCAUCAUUUAAAGAAAGCGUAAUAGCUCACUGGUCGAGUCGGCCUGCGCGGAAGAUGUAACGGGGCUAAACCAUGCACCGAAGCUGCGGCAGCGACACUAUGUGUUGUUGGGUAGGGGAGCGUUCUGUAAGCCUGCGAAGGUGUGCUGUGAGGCAUGCUGGAGGUAUCAGAAGUGCGAAUGCUGACAUAAGUAACGAUAAAGCGGGUGAAAAGCCCGCUCGCCGGAAGACCAAGGGUUCCUGUCCAACGUUAAUCGGGGCAGGGUGAGUCGACCCCUAAGGCGAGGCCGAAAGGCGUAGUCGAUGGGAAACAGGUUAAUAUUCCUGUACUUGGUGUUACUGCGAAGGGGGGACGGAGAAGGCUAUGUUAGCCGGGCGACGGUUGUCCCGGUUUAAGCAUGUAGGCUGGUUGUCCAGGCAAAUCCGGAUAAUCAAGGCUGAGGUGUGAUGACGAGGCACUACGGUGCUGAAGUAACAAAUGCCCUGCUUCCAGGAAAAGCCUCUAAGCAUCAGGUAACAUUAAAUCGUACCCCAAACCGACACAGGUGGUCAGGUAGAGAAUACCAAGGCGCUUGAGAGAACUCGGGUGAAGGAACUAGGCAAAAUGGUGCCGUAACUUCGGGAGAAGGCACGCUGGUGUGUAGGUGAAGUCCCUGCGGAUGGAGCUGAGACCAGUCGAAGAUACCAGCUGGCUGCAACUGUUUAUUAAAAACACAGCACUGUGCAAACACGAAAGUGGACGUAUACGGUGUGACGCCUGCCCGGUGCCGGAAGGUUAAUUGAUGGGGUUAUCCGUAAGGAGAAGCUCUUGAUCGAAGCCCCGGUAAACGGCGGCCGUAACUAUAACGGUCCUAAGGUAGCGAAAUUCCUUGUCGGGUAAGUUCCGACCUGCACGAAUGGCGUAAUGAUGGCCAGGCUGUCUCCACCCGAGACUCAGUGAAAUUGAACUCGCUGUGAAGAUGCAGUGUACCCGCGGCAAGACGGAAAGACCCCGUGAACCUUUACUAUAGCUUGACACUGAACAUUGAGCCUUGAUGUGUAGGAUAGGUGGGAGGCUUUGAAGCGUGGACGCCAGUCUGCGUGGAGCCAACCUUGAAAUACCACCCUUUAAUGUUUGAUGUUCUAACGUUGGCCCCUUACCGGGGUUGCGGACAGUGUCUGGUGGGUAGUUUGACUGGGGCGGUCUCCUCCCAAAGCGUAACGGAGGAGCACGAAGGUUAGCUAAUCCUGGUCGGACAUCAGGAGGUUAGUGCAAUGGCAUAAGCUAGCUUGACUGCGAGCGUGACGGCGCGAGCAGGUGCGAAAGCAGGUCAUAGUGAUCCGGUGGUUCUGAAUGGAAGGGCCAUCGCUCAACGGAUAAAAGGUACUCCGGGGAUAACAGGCUGAUACCGCCCAAGAGUUCAUAUCGACGGCGGUGUUUGGCACCUCGAUGUCGGCUCAUCACAUCCUGGGGCUGAAGUAGGUCCCAAGGGUAUGGCUGUUCGCCAUUUAAAGUGGUACGCGAGCUGGGUUUAGAACGUCGUGAGACAGUUCGGUCCCUAUCUGCCGUGGGCGCUGGAGAAUUGAGGGGGGCUGCUCCUAGUACGAGAGGACCGGAGUGGACGCAUCACUGGUGUUCGGGUUGUCAUGCCAAUGGCACUGCCCGGUAGCUAAAUGCGGAAGAGAUAAGUGCUGAAAGCAUCUAAGCACGAAACUUGCCCCGAGAUGAGUUCUCCCUGAGACUUUAAGUCUCCUGAAGGAACGUUGAAGACGACGACGUUGAUAGGCCGGGUGUGUAAGCGCAGCGAUGCGUUGAGCUAACCGGUACUAAUGAACCGUGAGGCUUAACCUUACAACGCCGAAG